rnacentral:rRNA from 1 species
CCUACGGGAGGCUGCAGUGGGGAAUAUUGGACAACGGGGGGAACCCUGAUCCAGCCAUGCCGCGUGUGUGAAGAAGGCCCUCGGGUUGUAAAGCACUUUCAGUGAGGAAGAACGCCUGGUGGUUAAUACCCAUCAGGAAAGACAUCACUCACAGAAGAAGCACCGGCUAACUCCGUGCCAGCAGCCGCGGUAAUACGGAGGGUGCGAGCGUUAAUCGGAAUUACUGGGCGUAAAGCGCGCGUAGGUGGCUUGAUAAGCCGGUUGUGAAAGCCCCGGGCUCAACCUGGGAACGGCAUCCGGAACUGUCAAGCUAGAGUGCAGGAGAGGAAGGUAGAAUUCCCGGUGUAGCGGUGAAAUGCGUAGAGAUCGGGAGGAAUACCAGUGGCGAAGGCGGCCUUCUGGACUGACACUGACACUGAGGUGCGAAAGCGUGGGUAGCAAACAGGAUUAGAUACCCCUGUAGUC